rnacentral:lncRNA from 1 species
GAGAGUUUCUUAGAAUCCAGGGGAAUGCCUAGGUAUCUAAAAGGAAGUUUGCCUUCACUGAAACCCAAGAGUUCUAUCAAUUCUGUUCUAACCUCCUGUGGUACCCCUCCUAGGUAGAUGGCACUCUUGCUUGCAUUUGCUUCCUGACUAGAAGCCUUAGAAAACUUGAGAAAAGCUUGGUGUAAGAUCUGAAUGGAGAUGUUGUCUGCCCGACAGAACAUAAGUAGGUCAUCAGCAAAACAGAAAUGGG